GUUAUUCAGGGGAACGCUUUCGAUUUUUAUUGUGGGUAGCCUGCACAAAGAGCCGUGUUAUUGUAUUUAAAAGAACCAUCUGUAGCAGAAACAAUGGCAUCAAAUUAUCUUUGAAUACCCACUGAAAAAAACAUAAAGCUUUUUUUUUUAUUCUUCUUCUGUACGGUGGGGGGAUAGAGCAGUGUUAGGAUAACUGACUUUUUUGUUGUUCUCUGGGUGCAUUCUUCUCGCUCCCCCUCUCUCCCCCUCACCCUCUCUCUCUUCUCUCUCUCCCUCUCCCUCUCUCUCUCUCUCUCUCUUUUAAAAAAUCAGCCAUUUGGGGUUUUAAGCCAUAAACGAUUUUUCUUGUUGCAGGGGAUUGCAGUGGCAAAGCUAGGCUAGGUCUUGGAAGCUGGUGUAAGGCGAUGCGGGUGAAGGCAGGAGGCUGAUGGAAAGACUGGGGGGAAGAAAAGCCGAAAUGGAUUCACGGUGCCUUGGAUGAAGGACGAGAGGGGAACUGCAAGCUCCUUCAACUGGUUCUGUCCGGUGAGAAGUGAUCAAGCUUGGGCUGACAAGAGGCUCAGGGAACCCUCACGUUCUUUCGCUUUUUUACCUGCCAAUCAAACUGCUACAAGACAACACCCUGAUCUGGCAUGGACAUCGCGGGUCCAAGCCUGUAGCCCCAAAUCGGAUAAUCUCUGCAGCUGAUAACAAGCAAAAGAGAAGCCAGGCAACAGCCAUAUUAAAGAAGAAAACAAUCAACUCUGAGAUCCAACUUAGAAAUAAUGUUUCAUUCAAGAUAAGGCUCGUGGUUUAGGAGAUUGUGACCUGGCUUACAUCAUUCUAAGACUUCUAUCAUCGGUUUUCAAAACCCAAGGAGGACCUCAUUCUCUGUGUGAUAGUUCCUCAUGCUUUGCCAGCCACUGGGUCUUUAAGGAAGCUUGCCGAGAGUUCCCAGCUGGGAAGGACAGUUCGAGUUCAUCAUAGACAGUGAGCUGGCACCACAGUUUAAGUGACUCACCAACCUGGUUGUCCACUUCAAAAUGUCAAGAACCACACUAUCUAAUUGAAAGAACUGUGUUUUAGCAAAGUGUAAUUGGAUCGCAUGGCAAGAUCAUCUCAAACUAUGUCUCUGACCUUGCCUUUCAGUGGCUGUUUGGAGCACAAGAGGAGAAAAGAAAUGAUUCCUGAAUUACAUAUUGCUUUUAAAAAUUAAGAUUAAUUAAUAAAUACUUGGUUUUAUGUUCAUUCCAUUGUAGGAACUUAAUGAUUAUUACAAAACAGUCAAAAUAGGUCAUAGCAAAAUGAACAUUUAAGAUUAGGUUAAAACAUUCCUCUGAAAUUUUAGUAUUCACUUUUGAAGCGUCAAUUACUGUAUU